AAGUACAGACCUCCGGAACGAAUUAAGUACUUAACCUUAGGUACCACUGUAUUAGAUUUCCAGACUGCAACUUCCUCAGGGACUGAAAGUAUUGGUGGUUGUGGGAGUAACCCCAUAUAGAAGAGGUACAGUGGUACCUCAGGUUAAGCACUUAAUUCGUUCCGGAG